AUUGAACGCUGGCGGCAGGCCUAACACAUGCAAGUCGAGCGGAUGAAGGGAGCUUGCUCCUGGAUUCAGCGGCGGACGGGUGAGUAAUGCCUAGGAAUCUGCCUGGUAGUGGGGGAUAACGUCCGGAAACGGGCGCUAAUACCGCAUAAGUCCUGAGGGAGAAGGAGGGGGAGCUUCGGACCUCACGCUCGCAGAUGAGCUUAGGUCGGAUUAGCUAGUUGGUGGGGUAAAGGCCUACCAAGGCGACGAUCCGUAACUGGUCGGAGAGGAUGAUCAGUCACACUGGAACUGAGACACGGUCCAGACUCCUACGGGAGGCAGCAGUGGGGAAUAUUGGACAAUGGGCGAAAGCCUGAUCCAGCCAUGCCGCGUGUGUGAAGAAGGUCUUCGGAUUGUAAAGCACUUUAAGUUGGGAGGAAGGGCAGUAAGUUAAUACCUUGCUGUUUUGACGUUACCAACAGAAUAAGCACCGGCUAACUUCGUG
rnacentral:rRNA from 1 species